rnacentral:lncRNA from 13 species
UCCCACAAAGACAAACUGACAAAAGACGCACACACAACCAUUUAACAGCGGCCACUCCCAGAUUGAUGCCAAGUCUGGAGGUUGAGGGGCUUGCGCUGAACCCUGUUCCCCCAGCCAGACUGCCUCAUCCCGGGGGCUUAGCCCUGACAUACCCCCCUAACUCCAGUCAGCAAGCACUGGAUGGUUCUGCCCAGCCAUGGGCCACUAUAGCCAAUACUAAUCGCCGGGCAGAGGAACAACGGACAGUCCUUACUGGCUCGUUGAUAAGGUCUAGGUGUUUGUACAAAGACUGUAUUGAAGGUGGGUCACAACAUUCAAACUGAAAGGUCCUAAACACUGGACUCCCCACGAGGCUGCUCCAUUCUUUUUGGCAUCCUGACAACAUUCACCAGACAUUCUACUACUACUGUAUUGGUCUGUGACAUCACAGAGGUCUUCCCUCAGACAUUCUAUUCUCUUUAUGACAUCAACGAGUUCCUCUCCAGACAUUCUAGUCUACUUAUGACAUCACAGGUCUUCCGCAGAUAUUCUACUCUCAUGACAUCACAGGUCUUCCCUCAGACAUUCUAUUCUCUUUAUGACAUCACCGAGUUCCUCUCCAGACAUUCUAGUCUACUUAUGACAUCACAGGUCUUCCCCAGAUAUUCUACUCUCAUGACAUCACAGGUCUUCCCCAGAUAUUCUACUCUCAUGACAUCACAGGUCUUCCCCAGAUAUUCUACUCUCAUGACAUCACAGGUCUUCCCCAGAUAUUCUACUCUCAUGACAUCACAGGUCUUCCCAAGAUAUUCUACUCUCAUGACAUCACAGGUCUUCCCCAGAUAUUCUACUCUCUCAUGACAUCACAGGUCUUCCCCAGAUAUUCUACUCUCAUGACAUCACAGGUCUUCCCCAGAUAUUCUACUCUCAUGACAUCACAGGUCUUCCCCAGAUAUUCUACUCUCAUGACAUCACAGGUCUUCCCCAGAUAUUCUACUCUCUCAUGACAUCACAGAGAUUCUAUUUAUGACAUUGCAGGUCUCCAAGAUAUUCUAGUGUCUUCAUGACAUCAGAGGUCUUUCCCAGAGAGUCUACUCUUUUUAAAUCACAUAAAGUAUUCUCCAGAUAUUUAAUCUUUAUGACAUCACAGAGGUGAGGUCUUCAAGAGAUAGUCUACUUGUGACAUCACAGGUUUCUCCCAGACAUUCUAGUCUCUUUAUGACUUCACCCCAGACAUUCCAGAUAAUUUACUUGACAACAUCAGAUUAGAAUAACUCUAUUCAACUCCACCAAUAUAAAAUUCUAAUAACCAAAUCAAAUACUCACUCCCACAUCUUAGCCCUACUUCAGGAAUCUCUCAGUCUCCAUGACGUGGCCAUGGAAACGGUGUUAAGCUGAGAACAGGUCUCAGAGCAGUGGUAAUCCUGCGAGGACGUGACCUGAUACCUUGCAGCUCCUGUAUGCCCUACUAAUAUCACACUAACACCAUACAGAACCUAAUACAGUGCUAUUAAAACUAUAACACCAUGAUAAACCUAGCUAGGUGUUACACCUGUCAUUUACCCAUCAGACUAUAACACCAUGAUAAACCUAGCUAGGUGUUACACCUGUCACAGUCUAUAACACCAUGAUAAACCUAGCUAGGUGUUACACCUGUCACAGUCUAUAACACCAUGAUAAACCUAGCUAGGUGUUACACCUGUCACAGUCUAUAACACCAUGAUAAACCUAGCUAGGUGUUACACCUGUCAUCUAACCAUCAGACUAUAACACCAUGAUAAACCUAGCUAGGUGUUACACCUGUCACAGUCUAUAACACCAUGAUAAACCUAGCUAGGUGUUACACCUGUCAUCUAACCAUCAGACUAUAACACCAUGAUAAACCUAGCUAGGUGUUACACCUGUCAUCUAACCAUCAGACUAUAACACCAUGAUAAACCUAGCUAGGUGUUACACCUGUCAUCUAACCAUCAGACUAUAACACCAUGAUAAUAGACAGGAGUUUUAACCUCUAAGCCAUAAGAACGAUAGUUUACUACAGUCCUAGGUAGUACUGAUCACUCGGGGCUGUUCUUGCUCAGACAAGGCUUAAAACUACUUCAGGUUGUACCUGGAGCUACACAGCACUAUACAGACUGACUGGGCUCAGACAGACAGACAAACAAACAGCACUAUACAGACUGACUGGGCUCAGACAGACAGACAGACAGCACUAUACAGACUGACUGGGCUCAGACAGACAGCACUUCUGACCCGAGUACAGUGGAACGUCCUACAUUAGACUAAUAGUCCUAUCUAGCCUGCACCUGUUGUACCAUUUAACACAGAG